GUAUUGAUUGCGUGUGACCGCAAAAACAAAACAUUCUAGACUGUAUCGAAUUUUGUGUGAAAACGUGAGCCCUCCUGCAAAGGGGGGACCCGCGCGGUGAUGCACAAAGGGGUGAGAUGGAUUUUGUGUGAGAGCACUCGGGCGUGCACGACAAAAAGUCAGCGACAGCCCUUGCGCCUCGGUUAUGCGAUAAUGAUCCUUCCGCAGGUUCACCUACGGAAA
rnacentral:misc_RNA from 1 species